AAAAUGUUGUCUGUGAAUGUUUGUUUACACGCAUGCCGACAAUCACCUUUUAUGCCAUGAAAUGAACAAGUCAGCAUCAUUUUUUCUGUGCGAAUUACUUUGAAGCCUGCUAUUUCACAUUGUUAUUCUUUUAUUUUCUGAGUUUAUCAUUCCAGUUAGUGAAUAAUAUUUUUAUUUUCAACUAAACAAAGAAACAAGCUAUGAAAUUAGCAAGGUAAGAAAGUAAUAGCACACUUGUGAUAAAAAAUUUUGUUUGCCAACGACACUCGUUGAUAUGUUUUCAAUUUGCAUCGGUUUUCAUCGAGAGCAUUUAAGUCUACAGGCGAUGAAAGCGGGAUAAAUGAGGCAAUACACACUUUUUAGGACCAGUUUCUUUAAAGACUUAUAUUUUUUCCCUGCUUACAGUUUUAAUACUAUACUGGAAGAUUUAAAAAUUAUCACAUUACCCGCACCUUCCUAUAACCCGCACCAACAAAUGUUUGCGUUGAAAUUAACAGUUAACAACAACUCGCUCUCUAAUAAUAUUGUAUGGACAAAAAAUAACAAGACAAAUCUGGCAGUAAAUGGGACCAUGGACACUAGGUGCUCCCUGGGAUAGCAAUGAGAGUGAGUGAUAGCGACACACCCUGGACAGGUAAUUGGGUGGUUAGCGGACACACCCGGCAAACAAAGUGGGGCGGUUAGCAGACACAAACCCAAAGCAGAAACUUGGGCGGUUGGCAGACACCCAGUGAAUGAAUUGGGGUGAUAGCGCCGUGACCCAGAGAACGAAGCCCCUAAACCUAGCUGCUUAGGUAGGUAAGAAUAAGGUGGGGUAAGGGACCCACCCAGCCUGACUCAGGCAGUAGCUAAGUGGAAGGUGUGCACCCAGGCCAGUAGUCCAAAUUUAUUAUGGGGGGUAGAGGAGGGAAAGGAAACACUGUACACUAGUAGUUGGGUCACUAGCGGACACACCCUGCAAACAAAGUGGGGCAGUUAGCGGACUCAAACCCCAAAGCAUAAACACAACGUGGGGUGGUUAGCGAACACAAACCCCAAAGCAGAAACUUGGGUGGUUGGCGGACACACCCACUAAAUGAAUUAGGGUGAUAGCGCAGUGACCCAGAGUAUAAAGCCCCCCAACCUAGCUGCUUAGGUAGGUAAGAAUAAGGUGGGGUAAGGGACCCACCCAGCCUGACGCAGGCGAUAGCUAAGUGGAAGGUGUGCACCCAGGCCAGUAGUCCAAAUUUAUUAUGGGGGGUAGAGGAGGGAAAGGAAACACUGUACACUAGUAGUUGGGUCACUAGCGGACACACCCUGCAAACAAAGUGGGGCAGUUAGCGGACUCAAACCCCAAAGCAUAAACACAACGUGGGGUGGUUAGCGAACACAAACCCCAAAGCAGAAACUUGGGUGGUUGGCGGACACACCCACUAAAUGAAUUAGGGUGAUAGCGCAGUGACCCAGAGUAUAAAGCCCCCCAACCUAGCUGCUUAGGUAGGUAAGAAUAAGGUGGGGUAAGGGACCCACCCAGCCUGACGCAGGCGAUAGCUAAGUGGAAGGUGUGUACCCAAAUUAUGCCCCAAAUACUGCCAGGUACAUAGUGACAAAUAUUAGUGCAACUUUAACAAGGUCUACAUUGUCCUGUGCUUAUAUCCCAAAUUUGUAGUGGAGUACUAUGGGUGGCGGCUAGCUGGGCAGGAACUGCUUGGAGUAUUGAAGCAGGUGUCCUGAUGUAGUGGGUGUAGCAAUUGCUGGACCAACGGCUGAGGGUUUGGAUAAGCAAAGGGGCAAGCCGGCCUCUGCAGCAGUAGUUGCAGCUGCAAUAAGGAAACUGGGAUCGGAUGCAUAGGACUCUGUUGCGAAACCCAAGCAUUGAAGCUGGAGGCGCAGAAUUGAGGUUACUUUGUCCCUGGUGAGAAAUUUUCCAGUUGAGAAGAAAUAAAGGGGGGUGAAAUUGCCUGGAAGCUGGUGAGCCAGGUAAUGGCGCAUUGCCCGUACUGCACAGACUGAAAAGCCAGAAGGAGUGAGUGUAAUGGAACAGCCCAUCCGGAAGGGAUCAGUUUUGGAGGAUUUCAGUUGCAAUGAUAAGGAGCCUGCGGAGAUAAAACUGAUGUCUGAGCGGGACAGGUGUACCAGCGGGUUGAAGUGAACUGAAGAUGGUGAGGUGAGCUCGCUCGAACGCAAGAAGGCAAAGAAGGCCAGAGUAAAGGCUGAUUAGAGCAUGAGUUUGUCCUGUGAUGCGAUCUGAGGGUCAUCUGCCAAAGCUCCGUUUAGCUGGCGUAUGACUGACAUGGUGAUAGGUAGACGGCGGCAAGAGGAGAGUCCAAUUGUCCGCUUGAUGCCUCGUAGAAGUAAACGAAGUAGGGGGGCAUCUGCAAACGGGUCUGCAAGGCUGUUUUCGAUGUGGGCAAACAGGAUACCAGCUAGAUACAGCUUAAUGGUUGGGAAGCUGACUUGAUAAGAGAGCCAAGAGGCAAAAUAACGUAGUUGUAACUCUGAUGCAGGGAAGGGGUUCCAUUGCCUUGAACAACUAAAGGUAGUAUACCCGCGAAUUCCAGUGCAGUAGGUGCGACGUGUGGAAGGUGCAAUGGCUUGAGACUGCAGAAAGGCUAGGUGACCAGCCAGAGGGUCGGCGCUGAGGGGGGCAUAGUCGUCGGCUCCAAAUCUGCCUGCGGGGUGAGUUGGCGGAACUGGAGCGUCUGAAAACGGGACAAAGCAUCAGCAAUUGAAUUGUCUGUACCUCAAAUGUGAGAGACAAGAAUGGAGAAUUGGUGGGAUAGAGUGCAAAAGAAGAUUGAACGAACAAGGUGCAUAAGGAGGGGGUCACAGGAAGUACCCUUUGCCCAAAUGUCCACAACUGAUUGGUUAUCACAGUGGAAUAGCAGUUUCUUGUCCCUCCAAAGUGGACCCCACAGGAAGCAGGCAAGAGCUAUGGGGUAGAGCUCCUUCUACUGGAUGGAGCGAUCAGACAGGUUGGAGGGCCAGGAACCAUUCAGCCAAUGACCUUGAAAGUAGAUGCCAAAACCAAGACCUCCAGAUGCAUCAGUGAAGAGCGCGAGAUCAGGAGAUCUUGACCAAAAGGGGUCAGGAAUAAUAGCUUGGCCGUUCCAGACAAAGAUACUUCAGCCACCAAGCAACAUCCCUGCAAACUUUAGCAUUGAGGGAUAUAUGAUGGUGGGGUAGGCGAGCAGUGGUACCCAGGUCAAUCAAGCGCCACAGGAAUAUGCGACCAGCUGGGAUGAUUCAACAGGCGAAGUUAAGUUUACCAAUGAGGGAGAGAAGUUCUCUUUUAAUGCACUUUUUUCGAGAAGACCAGGUAUGAAGUUCAGUCACAAGCUCUGACAGUUUAUCAGGAGGUAAGGAGCAUUCCAUGAGAUUGGAAUCAAUCAAUAUGCCAAGAAACACCAGACGAGAGGUUGGACCCUCCAGCUUGUUGGGGGGCCAAGGGGAUACCCAGGCGGUCAGCGGUUUUAACUAUGAUGUCGACUUGAGAUGGGCAUAGUGGUGACAAUGGAGGACCUACGGUAAAGUAAUCAUCAAGGUAGUGCAUGAGAGUGGAGAUAGCGUAAUUGUGCUUAAGUAUCCACUCAAAGGCAUCGGCUAAACAGUUAAAUAGGAACGGUGAGGAAUGGAGCCCAAAGGGUAGGCGGAGAUCCACAUAGAAUUUGCCUUGCCAGUGCAUGCCAAGGAGGUCCCAGUCACUGGGGGAUACAGGACAGAGACGAAAGGUGUGCUUAAGGUUGAGCUUAGCCAUGAGAGCACCAGCGCCAAAUUAGGAUACUAAGGCUAGGGCUUGAUCGAAGGUAGCGUAGUGUAAGGUGUAAUCCUCUUUAGAGAUAAAAUCAUUGAUGGACGAACCUUGAGGCGAAGAGAGAUCCACGAUAAUAUGCCAGGAGCCAUCCUUUUUGGGAACAAGCCUAGAGGUGAGCACUGAAGGGUUGGAAAGGGAGGAGACGAGAAGGGGCCUGCUGUGUGGCCUCUACUAACCUCUUUCAUGAGCACCUCAGUGACUGCAUUGGGGUGAAGGAGAGUAGAUUUUAAAUUCGGGGUGAUUCUGUGGUAGCAUGGACUCUGAUAGCGACAGCCAAACCGGAGUUCAUGGACCAGAUCUGAAGCAAAUUUGCCAUUUUCUAAACGAGCGGCAAUCUGGGUACGACUUGCGACCGCAAAGCCGCUAGGGAUUGUUUGGAGGGACAAGGAAGUAAACAAAAUAUAGCGGAAAGCAGAAAAAUUCCUCGCGAAACUGUAGAACAAUACAGUGUUGUGCAAUUGAAAAGAUGGUUGCUGUGCAGAGGAGCUAAGACAACGGGAAAUAAGAAAGCAGUAGUGACAAGGUACGUUUGCUUCUAAAAUCAGAGUGAAAUUAUUCUUGUCUUGUUUAUUUAAUGUUUUUUGUUUUGUUGGUAGGGUUCAAGAUUAUGUUAAACAUGGAUUAGAUGUUAAAUAUCUCCAUGAUCCAGACGGUGGACUUCACCUUUUGCGAAAGAAAGCUCAACUUGGCGUCCUUGAGAAGGAAGAACCACAACUCAGCCAGUCUUUUCCAAAAGAAGGUUA